GGCUGUAGCUCAGUGGUAGAGUGCCUGCCUCUCACAUGUGAGGCACUGGGUUCGAUCCUCAGCACCA
rnacentral:tRNA from 1 species